AAGCCUAUACUUUCGGGGAUUGUUUCUAUAGUUACUACUGUUGAGGUUUCUUUGAAUGUGCAGAACACUGAAAACCGCGGAGGUGCAGUGUUUUCUUUUGAUCCUGCAGCCGGCUCUAUGGAGUUGCUUUACUGUAGCUGUUACUUGCCAUUCUUCUUUAUCAGGGAGAGGUUGCAAUCUGAAUGGU
ensembl:snoRNA U3 Small nucleolar RNA U3